CUAAUGGUUUAAACUUCGAAAUGAGAACGGGACACUACAAUGCUUCAGGGCUUUCCACCUCUUCCAUUUUUUAAGGGAACUGAUAAG